rnacentral:lncRNA from 1 species
UGAGAGACUCAUGUAUGAAUAGUGAUGGAGGAGCCAUGGAGCUAGAAGUUCUAGAUCCCAUAUAUUGUGGAAUUUUGGUGUAAUAAUUGGAGUUCAGGCUAAGUUUGAAGUCGACACCCCCUGACUAAGCAGAACACUGACAAGAUGUGACAUCUCUGCCAACUUGAGGAUCUACUUUGGCCUGGGAAAAUUGGAAGAGACCUUGUAAUGGAAGCGAGGACACCAAGAAGUAUAACAAAAGAUAUCUGGAUGAGGAACCCAGAGAGUUAAUCAGCUGUGGUCUCCAUACCAGAUCUGAGAGUAAGUAAAUGUACUGGUUCAGGUAAUCCAAGUAGUUGUUAUUGCGGGGGGUGGGGGGG